GUUGAGACACUUGACAUGGACUUAGGGAUAGGUGGACUUUCGAGUGUUUGUUAACCCUAGUUGACAGGAUAUCCUCAGUUGGCGAGGAUUGGAUCAUACUCACAUAGUCUGUUUUGAGCUUGUGGUGGUCGCUCCACACAAGCAGUGCACUCCGGAGUUGUCACACGAGCGGGGUAGCUCAUCGGGUGGGAUACGAGCGGGGUAGCUCCUCACCCAUUGGACUGGGACGUGAGUUGGGGUGAAGGGCGGGGUAGCCUUUCCCCUAUGAGAUUGAGCGGGGCAGCUCAUUAUCUAUGAGAUUAGAGCGGGGUAGCUCUUCAUCUAUGACCUUUGAGAUGCGAGACGGGUGAGAUAAGAGCGGGGUAGCUCCUCACCUAUGAGAUUUGAGAUAUCAGUCGGGGCGAAGAGCGGGGUAGCUCUUUACCUCUUCACCUACUAGAUUGUGGUGUGAGUACCUAUGAGAUUUGAGAUCUUAGGCGGGGUAGCCUAGUGGAUUGG
rnacentral:lncRNA from 1 species